rnacentral:rRNA from 1 species
ACUCCUACGGGAGGCAGCAGUGGGAAUAUUGCACAAUGGGAAGCCAUCGAUGCAGCCAUGCCGCGCUGUGUGAAGAAGGCCAAUUCGGGCUUGGUUAAAGAUACUUUUCAGCAGUGAGGAAGGUGGAGUCGUUAAUAGCGGCCUCAUUUGACGUUAGCUGCAGAAGAAGCACCGGCUAACUCCGUGCCAGCAGCCGCGGUAAUACGGAGGGUGCGAGCGUUAAUCGGAAUUACUGGGCGUAAAGCGCAUGCAGGUGGUUUGUUAAGUCAGAUGUGAAAGCCCGGGGCUCAAGCCUCGGAAUUGCAUUUGAAACUGGCAGACUAGAGUACUGUAGAGGGGGUGA